GCAAGGCGGCGGGCUUAUACAUGCAAGUCGUGGGGCAGCAGGUUUGUAGCAAUACAAAUGCUGGCGACCGGCAAACGGGUGCGGAACACGUACGCAAUCUACCCAAAACUGGUGAAUAGCCCUCCGAAAGGAGGAUUAAUACACCGUAACCUAAUGAAGUGGCAUCACUCUAUUAGUAUAGCUCCGGCGGUUUUGGAUGAGCGUGCGGCUGAUUAGAUAGUUGGUGUGGGUAACGGCCCACCAAGUCUGCGAUCAGUAACUGGUGUGAGAGCACGACCAGUCACACGGGCACUGAGACACGGGCCCGACUCCUACGGGAGGCAGCAGUAAGGAAUAUUGGUCAAUGGACGCAAGUCUGAACCAGCCAUGCCGCGUGAAGGAUGAAGGUCCUCUGGAUUGUAAACUUCUUUUAUAGGGGACGAAACCUCUUUUUCUAAAGAGACUGACGGUACCCUAGGAAUAAGCACCGGCUAACUCCGUGCCAGCAGCCGCGGUAAUACGGAGGGUGCAAGCGUUAUCCGGAUUCACUGGGUUUAAAGGGUGCGUAGGAGGGCAGGUAAGUCAGUGGUGAAAUCUCCGAGCUUAACUUGGAAACUGCCGUUGAUACUAUCUGUCUUGAAUACCGUGGAGGUGAGCGGAAUAUGUCAUGUAGCGGUGAAAUGCUUAGAUAUGACAUAGAACACCAAUUGCGAAGGCAGCUCACUACACGCAUAUUGACUCUGAGGCACGAAAGCGUGGGGAUCAAACAGGAUUAGAUACCCUGGUAGUCCACGCCCUAAACUAUGGAUACUCGACAUACGCGAUAAACUGUGUGUGUCUGAGCGAAAGCAUUAAGUAUCCCACCUGGGAAGUACGAUCGCAAGAUUGAAACUCAAAGGAAUUGACGG
rnacentral:rRNA from 1 species